rnacentral:lncRNA from 10 species
GCCCGCCUCAGUCCUCCCUCAGCGUCUUACCUUGCCUCCUCACCGAGCCUGGGCCGGCUUCCCUCCGCCGACGUCAGGCCGUCGCUCGUUGCUCAGGGCGAGAAUCUCGCGGUCUUCUGACCUCCAAUGCGCAAGUCAGUGGCGUCACAUCCUGGCAACGGUACUACCCUGGGUUCCGGGCAGGGGUGGAACUGGAUUCUGCCUGGAUGGGGAUCGGAUGGGGGUGGAGGUUUGAUUUGGGAAGCAGAGCACAGCAGCCCAAAUUUGUUGUAAUGGCGGCGGCUACAGACUUGGCAUAUGGCAUAAGACACACAGAGAGAGCCUUGCUGGUGUAGCUGAGAUUUACGACCCUCAUCCAACCAAACCAUUUCAGAUUCUUGGGGCUCAGAGCUCUCAUCGGAAAGACAUCUAUUCUGGGAGCAGGUACCCUUGUGACUAUGAAGAUUGACAAAAAGUUGACGGCAACGAUGAAUUCUCUUCCAGAACUUACAUCCCAGAAGGCCCUCCCCUACUUCGGGUCUCCCUAGAGAGUGGAGAGACCUGCUGCCCUUGAAGAAGCAAACAGCCAUGUUGUGAGCUGCCUAAGCCUCUAGGUCUUGAGGGAAGCUUACAGUUAAGAGCCAGCAAAAGCCAGGGCCCUCAGUCAUGCCACACAAGGAAACGAAUCCUGCCAGCAACUAUGGGGGCUUGGAAGAGGAUAUUAAGCUUCAGUUGAGAAUGCAGCCUGACUGACACCAUCAUUGCAGCCUUGUGAGACCCCAAUCAGAGGACCCAGCUGAGCUGUACCCAGACUCCUAACCCACGGAAACUGAGAAAAUAAAUGUGUGCUAUUUAUAGCUGCU